GCGCCCGUAGCUCAGCUGGAUAGAGCGUCGGUCUACGGAACCGAAGGUCAGUGGUUCGAAUCCACUCGGGCGCA
rnacentral:tRNA from 1 species